CUACCGUCCAAGAUGAAGGCAACUCUCGUAGCCUUUUGCUUCCUCGCUGCAGUAACUUUCUGCAUGGGAAACACGUAUGGAAGCCCCACGCCCUGCCCGAGUCCGCCCGGACAACCUUGCACGUCCGGAGAAGGCCCGCAGGGACCCUCCCAAAACCAACAGCCCUCCCCACAACCCCCAAGAGACAACAGCGCGCCCGGCAGAAGUAAGUAA